rnacentral:rRNA from 1 species
ACACGGAAGGUCCGGGCGUUAUCCGGAUUUAUUGGGUUUAAAGGGAGCGCAGGCGGAGAUGCAAGCGUGACGUCAAAUUUCGGGGCUCAACCCCGUCUCGCGUCGCGAACUGCGUCCCUUGGUUGCGGGAAGGGGAGGCGGAACUCGUGGUGUAGCGGUGAAAUGCAUAGAUAUCACGAAGAACUCCGAUCGCGAAGGCAGCCUUCCGGCCCGUCAACGACGCUCAUGCUCGAAGGUGCGGGUAUCAAACAGGAUUAGAUACCCUGGUAGUCCGCACAGUAAACGAUGGACACCCGCGGUUUGGCCUGUAUGGCUGAGCCGCCAAGCGAAAGCGUUAAGUGUCCCACCUGGGGAGUACGCCGGCAACGGUGAAACUCAAAUGAAUUGGCGGGG